rnacentral:rRNA from 1 species
UACGUAGGGGGCAAGCGUUGUCCGGAAUCAUUGGGCGUAAAGCGCACGUAGGCGGCCCGGUAAGUCCGUUGUGAAAGUCAGAGGCUCAACCUCUGGAGGCCAAUGGAUACUGCCGGGCUAGAGUCCGGAAGAGGCGAGUGGAAUUCCUGGUGUAGCGGUGAAAUGCGCAGAUAUCAGGAGGAACACCAGUGGCGAAGGCGGCACUCUGGGCCGGUACUGACGCUGAGGAGCGAAAGCGUGGGGAGCGAACAGG